GGCUGGAUGGCAGAAUGGUUAUGCAGCGGUUUGCAAAACCGUGGAUGUCGGUUCAAUUCCGGCUCCAGCCUCCA
rnacentral:tRNA from 1 species